rnacentral:rRNA from 1 species
GACGAACGCUGGCGGCGUGCUUAACACAUGCAAGUCGAACGGAAAGGCCCUGCUUUUGUGGGGUGCUCGAGUGGCGAACGGGUGAGUAACACGUGAGUAACCUGCCCUUGACUUUGGGAUAACUUCAGGAAACUGGGGCUAAUACCGGAUAGGAGCUCCUGCUGCAUGGUGGGGGUUGGAAAGUUUCGGCGGUUGGGGAUGGACUCGCGGCUUAUCAGCUUGUUGGUGGGGUAGUGGCUUACCAAGGCUUUGACGGGUAGCCGGCCUGAGAGGGUGACCGGCAACAUGGGGACUGAGAUACGGCCCGGACUCCUACGGGAGGCAGCAGGGGGGAAGAUUGAACACUGGGCGGAAGCCGGAUGCAGCAACGCCGCGUGCGGGAUGACGGCCGUCGGGUUGGAAACCGCUUUCGCCUGUGACGAAGCGUGAGUGACGGUAAUGGGUAAAGAAGCACCGGCUAGCUACGUG